UGUAUAAAAGCUUGGUCUGUUGUGCAGGAAAUGACAGCGGGCCUAGUAGUGUCUCAUAUUUUGGUAAAAAUCUAACAUGCUAGAAGAUAGGGGCUCCCAUGGAUACCAGACCAAACAAGCAAGCCACAUUAGAAAUGUAUAUCCCUCCGGCCACAACGAACUGAUGAUCCGGCAGAUUUUGUUUCUGAUUGACACUUUGCUA
rnacentral:lncRNA from 1 species